UCGCGGAUACGAGAGAUCGUAUCCUUCAGUUCGGCUGGAUCGGAGACAGGUGCUGCAUGGCUGUCGUCAGCUCGUGUCGUGAGAUGUUGGGUUAAGUCCCGCAACGAGCGCAACCCUCGCCCUUAGUUGCCAGCAUUCAGUUGGGCACUCUAAGGGGACUGCCGGUGAUAAGCCGAGAGGAAGGUGGGGAUGACGUCAAGUCCUCAUGGCCCUUACGGGCUGGGCUACACACGUGCUACAAUGGUGGUGACAGUGGGCAGCGAGACCGCGAGGUCGAGCUAAUCUCCAAAAGCCAUCUCAGUUCGGAUUGCACUCUGCAACUCGAGUGCAUGAAGUUGGAAUCGCUAGUAAUCGCAGAUCAGC
rnacentral:rRNA from 1 species